rnacentral:rRNA from 1 species
UAGAUUCGUACGUGACCUGCGGAAGGAUCAUUA